AAAGAUGCGCCUUUGGGUGUUUUUGGUGGGGGAUGGGCUCGCGGCCUAUCAGCUUGUUGGUGGGGUGAUGGCCUACCAAGGCGGUGACGGGUAGCCGGCCUGAGAGGGUGGACGGUCACACUGGGACUGAGACACGGCCCAGACUCCUACGGGAGGCAGCAGUGGGGAAUAUUGCACAAUGGGCGCAAGCCUGAUGCAGCGACGCCGCGUGAGGGAUGGAGGCCUUCGGGUUGUAAACCUCUUUCGCCAGUGAAGCAGGCCUGCUCCUUGUGGGUGGGUUGACGGUAGCUGGAUAAGAAGCGCCGGCUAACUACGUGCCAGCAGCCGCGGUAAUACGUAGGGCGCGAGCGUUGUCCGGAAUUAUUGGGCGUAAAGAGCUCGUAGGCGGCUGGUCGCGUCUGUCGUGAAAUCCUCUGGCUUAACUGGGGGCUUGCGGUGGGUACGGGCCGGCUUGAGUGCGGUAGGGGAGACUGGAACUCCUGGUGUAGCGGUGGAAUGCGCAGAUAUCAGGAAGAACACCGGUGGCGAAGGCGGGUCUCUGGGCCGUUACUGACGCUGAGGAGCGAAAGCGUGGGGAGCGAACAGGAUUAGAUACCCUGGUAGUCCACGCCGUAAACGUUGGGCACUAGGUGUGGGGGGCCUUUUCCGGGUCUUCCGCGCCGUAGCUAACGCAUUAAGUGCCCCGCCUGGGGAGUACGGCCGCAAGGCUAAAACUCAAAGGAAUUGACGGGGGCCCGCACAAGCGGCGGAGCAUGCGGAUUAAUUCGAUGCAACGCGAAGAACCUUACCAAGGCUUGACAUGUGCCGGUCGGCUCCGGAGACGGGGUUUCCUCCUUGUGGGGCCGGUUCACAGGUGGUGCAUGGUUGUCGUCAGCUCGUGUCGUGAGAUGUUGGGUUAAGUCCCGCAACGAGCGCAACCCUUGUCCCGUGUUGCCAGCACGUUGUGGUGGGGACUCGCGGGAGACUGCCGGGGUCAACUCGGAGGAAGGUGGGGAUGACGUCAAAUCAUCAUGCCCCUUAUGUCUUGGGCUUCACGCAUGCUACAAUGGCCGGUACAGAGGGCUGCGAUACCGUGAGGUGGAGCGAAUCCCUUAAAGCCGGUCUCAGUUCGGAUCGGUGUCUGCAACUCGACACCGUGAAGUUGGAGUCGCU
rnacentral:rRNA from 1 species